rnacentral:rRNA from 1 species
AGGAUUAGAUACCCUAGUAAUUUCAGCCGUAAACGAUGAAAACUCACUGUCGAGCCAAUAUAUGGAGCGGUGGUCAAGCUAACGCGUGAAGUUUUCCGCCUGGGGAUUACGCUUGCAAAAGUGAAACUCAAAGGAAUUGACGGGGACCCGCACAAGCGGUGGAGUAUGUGGUUUAAUUCGAUGCAACGCGAAAAACCUUACCAGGGUUUGAAAUAAUUUCAAAACUUCUUGAAAGAGAAGCCUCCUUCGGGAUGGAAUUACAGGUGGUGCAUGGCUGUCGUCAGCUCGUGUUGUGAAAUGUCAAGUUAAGUCUUGUAACGAGCGCAACCCAUGUCUCUUGUUGCUGUUUACAGUGCUUAAGAGAAACUGCCGAUCAACAUCGGAGGAAGGUGUGGAUGAUGUCAAGUCAGCAUGCCCCUUACAUCCUGGGCUACACACGUACUACAAUGGUCGAGACAAAGGGUCGCUAACCUGCGAAGGUAUGCCAAUCUCAUAAACUCGAUCUCAGUUCGGAUUGUACUCUGCAACUCGAGUACAUGAAGGUGGAAUCGCUAGUAAUCGCUGGUCAGCAUACAGCGGUGAAUACGUUCCCGGGUCUUGUACACACUGCCCGUCACACCAUGGAAGUCGACCCUUCCCUAAGUCGUUACUCGAACCUGUAAAGGACGAGGACGCCGAAGGCAGAGUUGGUGACUAGGGUGAAGUCGUAACAAGGUAACC